CCUACGGGCGGCAGCAGUGGGGAAUCUUGCGCGAUGGGCGAAAGCCUGACGCAGCCAUGCCGCGUGAAUGAUGAAGGUCUUAGGAUUGUAAAAUUCUUUCACCGGGGACGAUAAUGACGGUACCCGGAGAAGAAGCCCCGGCUCACUUCGUGCCAGCAGCCGCGGUCAUACGACGGGGGCUAGCGUUGCUCGGAAUUACUGGGCGUAAAGGGCGCGUAGGCGGGCAUUUAAGUCAGGCGUGAAAUCCCAGAGGUCAACUCUGGAACGGCCUUUGAAACUGGGUGUCUUGAGUGUGAGAGAGGUAUGUGGAACUCCGAGUGUAGAGGUGAAAUGCAUAGAUAUUCGGAAGAACACCGGUUGCGAAGGCGACAUACUGGCUCAUUACUGACGCUGAGGCGCGAAAGCGUGGGGAGCGAACAGGAUUAGAUACCCUAGUAGUC
rnacentral:rRNA from 1 species